rnacentral:rRNA from 1 species
UACGUAGGUGGCGAGCGUUGUCCGGAUUUACUGGGCGUAAAGGGAGCGUAGGCGGACUUUUAAGUGAGAUGUGAAAUACCCGGCUCAACUUGGGUGCUGCAUUUCAAACUGGAAGUCUAGAGUGCAGGAGAGGAGAAUGGAAUUCCUAGUGUAGCGGUGAAAUGCGUAGAGAUAUGGAGGAACACCAGUGGCGAAGGCGGCUUCCUGGUCUGUAACUGACACUGAGGCGCGAAAGCGUGGGGAGGCAAACAGGAUUAGAUACCCCUCGUA